AUUGAACGCUGGCGGCAUGCCUUACACAUGCAAGUCGAACGGUAACAGGUCUUCGGAUGCUGACGAGUGGCGAACGGGUGAGUAAUACAUCGGAACGUGCCUAGUAGUGGGGGAUAACUACUCGAAAGAGUGGCUAAUACCGCAUGAGAUCUACGGAUGAAAGCAGGGGAUCGCAAGACCUUGUGCUACUAGAGCGGCCGAUGGCAGAUUAGGUAGGUGGGGGGAUAAAAGCUUACCAAGCCGACGAUCUGUAGCUGGUCUGAGCGGACGAUCCGCCACACUGGGACUGAGACACGGCCCAGACUCCUACGGGAGGAAGCAGUGGGGAAUUUUGGACAAGGGGCGAAAGCCUGAUCCAGCAAUGCAGCGUGCAGGAUGAAGGCCUUAGGGUUGUAAACUGCUUUUGUACGGAACGAAAAGCCCCGGGUUAAUACCCUGGGGUCAUGACGGUACCGUAAGAAUAAGCACCGGCUAACUACGUGCCAGCCGCCGCCGUAA
rnacentral:rRNA from 1 species